rnacentral:rRNA from 1 species
GAUGAACGCUGGCGGCGUGCUUAACACAUGCAAGUCGAACGAAGCACUUUAUUUGACUUCCUUCGGGACUGAUUAUUUUGUGACUGAGUGGCGGACGGGUGAGUAACGCGUGGGUAACCUGCCUUGUACAGGGGGAUAACAGUUGGAAACGGCUGCUAAUACCGCAUAAGCGCACAGCAUCGCAUGAUGCAGUGUGAAAAACUCCGGUGGUAUAAGAUGGACCCGCGUUGGAUUAGCUAGUUGGUGAGGUAACGGCCCACCAAGGCGACGAUCCAUAGCCGACCUGAUAGGGUGACCGGCCACAUUGGGACUGAGACACGGCCCAAACUCCUACGGGAGGCAGCAGUGGGGAAUAUUGCACAAUGGGCGAAAGCCUGAUGCAGCGACGCCGCGUGAGCGAAGAAGUAUUUCGGUAUGUAAAGCUCUAUCAGCAGGGAAGAUAAUGACGUUACCUGACUAAGAAGCACCGGCUAAAUACGUG